GAGAGGGGCUGCAUCCCCUUAGGCACGCGGGAGCUUCGCCUCGGCGGCAAGGGGUGCCGGAAAGCCCCCUCCGCCGUCCCGACAGCCAGGCCUUGCCCGCAGGCAACGUCAGCAAGCGGAGACGGACGAAAGGAGCCCGGAAUGCAGCCACGGAAGGAAAAGAGGCCCCGUGGGUUACUAGGAGACGCGCGCAGGAACUCACCUGCAUGGGCGCCGCCAUCUUGGCGGAGAAGCGCAUGCGGAGAACUGUGGCGGCGAUCUGAGCAGUCAACCAAGGACGGGGAAGGAAGACCACCCUGGAAUGUGGCAGGAGCCAACACCCAGGAAAUCUCAUCACCAGAAGACAAAACCCUUUGAAUUACAAAUUGGCCCUGAUGGCGGCACCCCCAGAGGUCCCAGCCAUUGAAGAAUACUUGUGCAUCAUCAUUGGACAGUUUGAUCUCCCCUUUGUUCUAAAAUCAAGAGGCGGGAGCCUCAGGACAGGACUAACGUUCAACACCCAUUAAUAACAGGAUUCUUGGGUGUGUUAUCAGGAGCCAAGUUUUAUGAAUGGGACACUUUCUACUCUCAGCCCCUGCGAAACCACGAAGAGACGCUUUACCGCGAGACUUCAGUUUCCAUUCAUUAAGUUGUAAUCGUAUAUGUUGUUUAUGUGUUAAUGUAUUGAUGUGUUUCUAUUUGUUGUAGGGUAAGGGACCUGCCCCCUUACCUGCCCCUUACCGAUUUGCCCCCUCCCAUGAUUAGAGUGUAUAAAAAUUUUUCCGCUGGGUUCCGCAGUGCGGUCUUUGGCUGAGCUGCUUUUGAGGAAUCACUUGGCAAUAAAGAAUCUCCUGCUUUGAAGGA